AUAGAAUCUGCUGACUUCAAUAGCCUCACUCACCUUCUGACGUGGAAGGAGAACCGAAACAACAUUUUCCCAGAACCCAUCGUUGAGCAGUCGAGUGACUCCAGAAACAAAAGGCUUUCCAGUGAACAAUCAACCAAUGAGCCAGAGGCUGACAGCUGCCAGGAAUCUAAGGAGUGUAAUUCUUGAAGCGGCUUGAACAGCCAAAAAUCAAGAAGAUAAAAAAUCACCUUGAACCUUGAGAAUUUUAUUUACAUAGGAAUAUCAAUGUAGGUAUAGACUGCCUCAAUAAAAGCCACCAUGAUUAUGAUUUUGUACA
rnacentral:lncRNA from 1 species